rnacentral:rRNA from 1 species
GACGAACGCUGGCGGCGUGCUUGACACAUGCAAGUCGAACGGAAGGGCCUGCUUUCCCUUGUGGAUUGCGGGUACUCGAGUGGCGAACGGGUGAGUAACACGUGAGUGAUCUGCCCCCAACUUGGGUAUAAGCCUGGGAAACUGGGUCUAAUUCCCGAUAGGACUGCAGGGUGGUGCCUGUGGUGGAAAACGAUUUUCUAGUGGUUGGGGAUGAGCUCGCGGCCUAUCAGCUUGUUGGUGGGGUAAUGGCCUACCAAGGCGGCGACGGGUAGCCGGCCUGGGAGGGUGGACGGCCACAUUGGGACUGAGAUACGGCCCAGACUCCUACGGGAGGCAGCAGUGGGGAAUAUUGCACAAUGGGCGGAAGCCUGAUGCAGCGACGCCGCGUGGGGGAUGACGGCCUUCGGGUUGUAAACUCCUUUCGACCGCGAGGAAGCCACCUGGUUGGAAGGGUGGUGACGGUAGUGGUAGAAGAAGCACCGGCUAACUACGUG